GACGAACGCUGGCGGCGUGCUUAACACAUGCAAGUCGAACGGUAAGGCCCUUCGGGGUACACGAGUGGCGAACGGGUGAGUAACACGUGGGUGAUCUGCCCUGCACUUCGGGAUAAGCCUGGGAAACUGGGUCUAAUACCGGAUAGGACCACUGCCUGCAUGGGUGGUGGUGGAAAGCUUUUGCGGCGUGGGAUGGGCCCGCGGCCUAUCAGCUUGUUGGUGGGGUGAUGGCCUACCAAGGCGACGACGGGUAGCCGGCCUGAGAGGGUGACCGGCCACACUGGGACUGGGAUACGGCCCAGUCUCCUACGGGAGGCAGCAGUGGGGAAUAUUGCACAAUGGGCGCAAGCCUGAUGCAGCGACGCCGCGUGAGGGAUGACGGCCUUCGGGUUGUAAACCUCUUUCAGCACCGACGAAGCGCAAGUGACGGUAGGUGCAGAAGAAGGACCGGCCAACUACGUGCCAGCCGCCGCCGUAA
rnacentral:rRNA from 1 species